GACGAACGCUGGCGGCGUGCUUAACACAUGCAAGUGGAGCGACGAACCAGGCUUCGGCCUGGGGCAGAGCCGCGAACGGGUGAGUAACACGUGGGUAACCUGCCCCGAUGACUGGGACGAACCCGACGGAAACUACGGGCGUAAUACCGGAUGUGCUGCUCUCGCUCAAGUGAGAGUAGGAAAGGAAGCUUCGGCCUCCGCAUCGGGAUGGGCCCGCGGCCCAUUAGCUUGUUGGUGAGGUAACGGCUCACCAAGGCUUCGAUGGGUAGCUGGUCUGAGAGGACGGAUCAGCCACACUGGGACUGAGACACGGCCCAGACUCCUACGGAGGCAGCAGUGGGGAAUCUUGCGCAAUGCGCGAAAGCGUGACGCAGCAACGCCGCGUGGGGGAAGACGG
rnacentral:rRNA from 1 species